rnacentral:piRNA from 1 species
UGUCAUGCAAGAGAGGUCUAGUGAGGA